rnacentral:lncRNA from 1 species
AUUGAUUCUCUGUCUUUUGAACUGAUCUACCUCGGAGUCGACUCGGGCCUUGAUGGAGUCGACUCGGCUAUCUUGGGGGUCCACUCUGGAACACUUGGAGUCGACUCGUUCACAGGGUCUCCGAAACUGAUUCUCUGUCUUUUUGUCUGCUUCCCUUUGGAGUCGACUCGGGACCAUCUGGAGUCGGCUCGCCAAGCAUUGGAGUCGACUCGGGACCAUCUGGAGUCGGCUCGCCGACAGGGUCUAAAAUCCAUCAUUCUGUCUUUCUAUCUGUUCUCAGUCGGAGUCGACUCAGAGAGUCCCGGAGUCGACUCGAGCAUUGUUCCUUGAAACUCCAGAGUGCCAGAGUUGACUCUGAACUUCCAGGAGUCGACUCGAGGACUAUUCUUUUGAAUUUUUGUUGAAUUUGCUCCUCCAACUUGAAUUCUUUGUACUUGUAACUUGGGCCAAUGAAGUGUGGCUUUCUUCCAACUUUUCUUGAGAACUUUUGAGGCUUUCUUGCAUUCUUCCAACUUGCUAUAUUCCUUGCAAAACAAUUUAUCUUUCUUCUUGCAACACAACCAUUAGUAAUUAUACUUCAAGAUUUUGUGAUCAUCAAAAUCAAUCUUUGGGUCAGCAAUCUCCCCCUUUUUGAUGAUGACAAAACUUGGAGUAUAUACAAUAUAAAAUAGAAUGUGUUUUAGAAC